GAUGAACGCUGGCGGCGUGCCUAAUACAUGCAAGUCGAGCGAACAGACGAGGAGCUUGCUCCUCUGACGUUAGCGGCGGACGGGUGAGUAACACGUGGAUAACCUACCUAUAAGACUGGGAUAACUUCGGGAAACCGGAGCUAAUACCGGAUAAUAUAUUGAACCGCAUGGUUCAACAGUGAAAGACGGUUUUGCUGUCACUUAUAGAUGGAUCCGCGCCGCAUUAGCUAGUUGGUAAGGUAACGGCUUACCAAGGCAACGAUGCGUAGCCGACCUGAGAGGGUGAUCGGCCACACUGGAACUGAGACACGGUCCAGACUCCUACGGGAGGCAGCAGUAGGGAAUCUUCCGCAAUGGGCGAAAGCCUGACGGAGCAACGCCGCGUGAGGGAUGAAGGUCUUCGGAUCGUAAAACUCUGUUAUUAGGGAAGAACAAAUGUGUAAGUAACUAUGCACGUCUUGACGGUACCUAAUCAGAAAGCCACGGCUAACUACGUG
rnacentral:rRNA from 1 species